UCUUGUGGAUGAGCACAGAAAGCAGUUUCCUAAGAUGGACUCUACUUCUAGUGAAGAUGCUGUGAA
rnacentral:pre_miRNA from 1 species